rnacentral:rRNA from 1 species
CUACGUAGGGGGCGAGCGUUGUCCGGAAUGAUUGGGCGUAAAGGGCGCGUAGGCGGCCCGGUAAGUCUGGAGUGAAAGUCCUGUUUUUAAGAUGGGAAUUGCUUUGGAUACUGUCGGGCUUGAGUGCAGGAGAGGUAAGUGGAAUUCCCAGUGUAGCGGUGAAAUGCGUAGAGAUUGGGAGGAACACCAGUGGCGAAGGCGACUUACUGGACUGUAACUGACGCUGAGGCGCGAAAGUGUGGGGAGCAAACAGGAUUAGAUACCCUGGUAGUCCACACUGUAAACGAUGAAUACUAGUUGUAGGAGGUAUCGACCCCUUCUGUGCCGUCGUUAACACAAUAAGUACCCCGCCUGGGGAGUACGGUCGCAAGACUAAAACUCAAAUGAAUUGACGGGG